rnacentral:rRNA from 1 species
AGCGAACGCUGGCGGCAGGCUUAACACAUGCAAGUCGAGCGGGCGUAGCAAUACGUCAGCGGCAGACGGGUGAGUAACGCGUGGGAACAUACCUUUUGGUUCGGAACAACACAGGGAAACUUGUGCUAAUACCGGAUAAGCCCUUACGGGGAAAGAUUUAUCGCCGAAAGAUUGGCCCGCGUCUGAUUAGCUAGUUGGUGAGGUAACGGCUCACCAAGGCGACGAUCAGUAGCUGGCUGAGAGGAUGAUCAGCCACAUUGGGACUGAGACACGGCCCAAACUCCUACGGGAGGCAGCAGUGGGGAAUAUUGGACAAUGGGCGCAAGCCUGAUCCAGCCAUGCCGCGUGAGUGAUGAAGGCCCUAGGGUUGUAAAGCUCUUUUGUGCGGGGAGGAUAAUGACGGUACCGCAAGAAUAAGCCCCGGCUAACUUCGUGCCAGCCGCCGCGGUAAU